rnacentral:rRNA from 1 species
AUUAACGCUGGCGGCGUGCAUAACACAUGCAAGUCGAACGAUGAAACUUAAAUGAUUUCUUCGGAAUGAACUUAAGUGGAUUAGUGGCGGACGGGUGAGUAACGCGUGAGUAACCUGCCUUACACAAGGGGAUAGCCGUUGGAAACGACGAAUAAUACCCUAUGAAACUAUCACUUCGCAUGAAGCGAUAGUCAAAGUGUUAGCGGUGUAAGAUGGACUUGCGUCUGAUUAGCUAGUUGGUGAGAAAAAAGCCCACCAAGGCAACGAUCAGUAGCCGGCUUGAGAGAGUGUACGGCCACAUUGGGACUGAGACACGGCCCAGACUCCUACGGGAGGCAGCAGUGGGGAAUUUUGCACAAUGGGGGAAACCCUGAUGCAGCGACGCCGCGUGAUUUAGAAGGCCUUCGGGUUGUAAAAAUCUUUUGUAUAGGAAGAAAAUGACAGUACUAUACGAAUAAGGUCCGGCUAAUUACGUG